CUGGCUGCUGUGAAAGGCCAUUUCAGACGAGGACUUUCCAGCUCAGCAAUAACAGGGACGUUAUCGCUACUUUCUCCAUCUGAGGCUCCCCUGAAUCUGAAGUUCAGAGCCAAAACGUUUUGACUUCCCUUUCACUCCUGCGACAUGACAGGAGGAGUAUCGCUCUUCAGCCAAUCAGCUGCGUGACGCUGUGUAUUAUGGGAAAUGUAGUUCACCGUGGUUCUGGCUUUUUAAAAGGUUUUAUCUGCACAGAGCCGUGUGGUUGCAGAUUUUCAUUCCAACCAAGCAGGAGCACACCUGAUCAAUUGUUCGAAGACUGAGAACAACUGAUAGAUAUGUUGAAAGAGAAGAUUUGCAGCCAUCAGCCCUUCACAGGUUACACAGAGAAAGUGGGUUAAAGCUGCUGCCCUCUAGUGUACAAAUAAAAAAUGGCCUUGCACUGAAAAGAAAAUAAAAAACUUCCAUGUGCAUGUU